GACGAACGCUGGCGGCGUGCCUAAUACAUGCAAGUUGAGCGAUGAAGAUUGGUGCUUGCACCAAUUUGAAGAGCAGCGAACGGGUGAGUAACGCGUGGGGAAUCUGCCUUUGAGCGGGGGACAACAUUUGGAAACGAAUGCUAAUACCGCAUAACAACUUUAAACAUAAGUUUUAAGUUUGAAAGAUGCAAUUGCAUCACUCAAAGAUGAUCCCGCGUUGUAUUAGCUAGUUGGUGAGGUAAAGGCUCACCAAGGCGAUGAUACAUAGCCGACCUGAGAGGGGGAUCGGCCACAUUGGGAAUGAGACACGGCCCAAACUCCUACGGGAGGCAGCAGUAGGGAAUCUUCGGCAAGGGACGAAAGUCUGACCGAGCAACGCCGCGUGAGUGAAGAAGGUUUUCGGAUCGUAAAACUCUGUUGGUAGAGAAGAACGUUGGUGAGAGUGGAAAGCUCAUCAAGUGACGGUAACUACACAGAAAGGGACGGCUAACUACGUG
rnacentral:rRNA from 1 species